rnacentral:rRNA from 1 species
GUCGCUGGGUGUAGACCCGAAACCAGAUGAUCUAUCCAUGGCCAGGUUGAAGGUGCGGUAACACGUACUGGAGGACCGAACCCACUAACGUUGAAAAGUUAGGGGAUGAGCUGUGGAUAGGGGUGAAAGGCUAAACAAAUCUGGAAAUAGCUGGUUCUCUCCGAAAACUAUUUAGGUAGUGCCUCGUGUGUCACCUUCGGGGGUAGAGCACUGUCAUGGUUGGGGGGUCUAUUGCUGAUUACCCCGCCAUAGCAAACUCCGAAUACCGAAGAGUGCAAUCACGGGAGACAGACAUCGGGUGCUAACGUCCGGUGUCAAGAGGGAAACAACCCAGACCGCCAGCUAAGGUCCCCAAGAUUGGCUAAGUGGGAAACGAAGUGGGAAGGCUAAAACAGUCAGGAGGUUGGCUUAGAAGCAGCCACCCUUUAAAGAAAGCGUAAUAGCUCACUGAUCGAGUCGUCCUGCGCGGAAGAUGUAACGGGGCUAAGCCAGUCACCGAAGCUGCGGACGCACAGUAAUGUGCGUGGUAGGAGAGCGUUCCGUAAGCCUGAGAAGGUGUCUUGUAAAGGAUGCUGGAGGUAUCGGAAGUGCGAAUGCUGACAUGAGUAGCGAUAAAGGGGGUGAAAGGCCCCCUCGCCGUAAGCCCAAGGUUUCCUACGCAACGUUCAUCGGCGUAGGGUGAGUCGGCCCCUAAGGCGAGGCAGAGAUGCGUAGCUGAUGGGAAGCAGGUUAAUAUUCCUGCACCGUCGUAUGAUGCGAUGGGGGGACGGAUCGCGGAAGGUUGUCCGGGUGUUGGAAGUCCCGGUCCCUGCAGUGGAGAAGGCGCUUAGGCAAAUCCGGGCGCGGGAUUCAAGGCUGUGGGGCGAGCGAGCAUUGCUUGCGAAGCAAUUGGAAGUGGUUCCAAGAAAAGCCUCUAAGCUUCAGUCAUACGAGACCGUACCGCAAACCGACACAGGUGGGCGAGAUGAGUAUUCUAAGGCGCUUGAGAGAACUCGGGAGAAGGAACUCGGCAAAUUGGUACCGUAACUUCGGGAUAAGGUACGCCCUGGUAGCUUGACUGGCCUGCGCCAGAAGGGUGACGGGGUUGCAAUAAAAUGGUGGCUGCGACUGUUUAAUAAAAACACAGCACUCUGCAAACACGAAAGUGGACGUAUAGGGUGUGACGCCUGCCCGGUGCCGGAAGAUUAAAUGAUGGGGUGCAAGCUCUUGAUUGAAGUCCCGGUAAACGGCGGCCGUAACUAUAACGGUCCUAAGGUAGCGAAAUUCCUUGUCGGGUAAGUUCCGACCUGCACGAAUGGCGUAACGAUGGCCACACUGUCUCCUCCCGAGACUCAGCGAAGUUGAAGUGUUUGUGAUGAUGCAAUCUCCCCGCGGCUAGACGGAAAGACCCCAUGAACCUUUACUGUAGCUUUGCAUUGGACUUUGAACCGAUCUGUGUAGGAUAGGUGGGAGGCUUUGAAGCGUGGACGCUAGUCUACGUGGAGCCGUCCUUGAAAUACCACCCUGGUUUGUUUGAGGUUCUAACCUUGGCCCGUGAAUCCGGGUCGGGGACAGUGCAUGGUAGGCAGUUUGACUGGGGCGGUCUCCUCCCAAAGUGUAACGGAGGAGUUCGAAGGUACGCUUGGUACGGUCGGACAUCGUACCUAAAGUGCAAUGGCAAAAGCGUGCUUAACUGCGAGACCGACAAGUCGAGCAGGUGCGAAAGCAGGACAUAGUGAUCCGGUGGUUCUGAAUGGAAGGGCCAUCGCUCAACGGAUAAAAGGUACUCUGGGGAUAACAGGCUGAUACCGCCCAAGAGUUCAUAUCGACGGCGGUGUUUGGCACCUCGAUGUCGGCUCAUCUCAUCCUGGGGCUGUAGCCGGUCCCAAGGGUAUGGCUGUUCGCCAUUUAAAGAGGUACGUGAGCUGGGUUUAAAACGUCGUGAGACAGUUUGGUCCCUAUCUGCCGUGGGCGUUGGAAUCUUGACGGGGGCUGCUCCUAGUACGAGAGGACCGGAGUGGACGUACCGCUGGUGUACCUGUUGUCUCGCCAGAGGCAUCGCAGGGUAGCUAUGUACGGAAGAGAUAACCGCUGAAAGCAUCUAAGCGGGAAACUCGCCUGAAGAUGAGGAUUCCCUGGCGGCUUGACCGCCUUGAAGGGUCGUUCGAGACCAGGACGUUGAUAGGCUGGGUGUGGAAGCGCAGUAAUGCGUUAAGCUAACCAGUACUAAUUGCCCGUAAGGCUUGAUCC